GACGAACGCUGGCGGCGUGCUUAACACAUGCAAGUCGAACGGAAAGGCCCUGCUUUUGUGGGUUGCUCGAGUGGCGAACGGGUGAGUAACACGUGAGUAACCUGCCCUUGACUUUGUGAUAACUUCAGGAAACUGGGGCUCAUACCGGGUAGGAUCUCCUGCUGCACGGUGGGGGUUGGAAAGUUUCGGCGGUUGGGGAUGGACUCGCGGGUUAUCAGCUUGUUGGUGGGGUAGUGGCUUACAAAGGCUUUGACGGAUAGCCGGCCUGAGAGGGUGACCGGCCACAUUGGGACUGAGAUACGGCGCAGACGCCUACGGGAGGCAGCGGUGGGGAGUAUGGCGGAAUGGGCGGAAGCCUGAUGCAGCAGCGCCGCGUGCGGGAUGACGGCUUUCGGGUUGUAAACCGCUUUCGCCGGUGACGAAGCGUGAUUGACGGUAAUUGGUAAAGAAGCACCGGCUAACUACGUG
rnacentral:rRNA from 1 species